UACGGAGGGUGCAAGCGUUUAUCCGGAUUCACUGGGUUUAAAGGGUGCGUAGGUGGGCAGGUAAGUCAGUGGUGAAAUCUCCCGAGCUUAACUCGGAAACUGCCAUUGAUACUAUUUGUCUUGAAUAUCCUGGAGGUGAGCGGAAUAUGGUCAUGUAGCGGUGAAAUGCUUAGAUAUGACAUAGAACACCAAUUGCGAAGGCAGCUCG
rnacentral:rRNA from 1 species